ensembl:lncRNA
CUAUGGGAGGAGCACAGUGAUAGUGAACAGGUGAUUUUGCGUGAUAACUGUUACUAUAUAGUGUAAUUUAGCACGUCUGAACUCUGUACUGACCAAUCAGCACUCAGGACCUGAACGCUCUGUUUUCUAAUUUAGUUUCCGGUGCACUGCCUCUCUUUCUAUCUAUCUCUCUCUCUCUCUCUCUGUCUUUUGUCGGAUCGAGGUAGCGGAGGGGUCUUGGUGGCAGAUGGGCAGGAGUAUCAGGGAUUGACUAAUCCCAAAUCUGCCGUCUCCUCACCACACCGAAACCAGGGGAGAGGCACGAGCCAGCUGCCACAUAGACGCCUUUCAUGCUCGUCUGCACACAACAGCUGCAGCAGGCCUGCCUGCUUGCUUCUAAAUUAUUAAACAUCUUUUUAGUUUGUUCCAGAUGCAGAGCCCGAUGUGCUUAUGGAGGCCUUUGUGCAUUUUACAUACCGUUCCUUUUCCCCUCCUCUCAUCAGAAUGCUGUUUGUAAAAGUCAUUAUCCCAUCUGUGCCGCCAGUUUGGACAAAACAGCCCAAGACUGAUCCAGCCCGCUUCUGUUUUCCGGGAUAGUUUAGGAGUUGAGGAUGAAGAUGAUGAUUGGGGGUGCGGUCCACCUGUAAGCCGUCUCGGCCGCUGCUUCGGGGCGGCAACAGGAGUUUUGCAAAAUAGAAGAAUAGAAAAGAAAACAGCCCAGUGUGUGCAGGCUGGAUCUCCAGAUGAGUCCUCCAUGGCCCACACACACCAGAGACGAGUCUGGAUCCUCCACUGGAGCCGCUGCACCUGUUGUUUUCAGGAGUUGGGGAAAGAUAGACACUCGUGCUCAGAGACUGUAUGGAAGGAUGAGAACAGGCAAUGUGUUUUGUCGCUAAAGCCAAAAAAGCAGGUGGAUGGCAUACCACAACCAACCCUCUUUACCACGUUCAGUCGGAUUCCCCACAAUCCUUUGGAAAUGUGUUUGGCAUUCCAGCUCUGGGCAUAAGUGGCUGAAGACCUCAUCUCACCGCAUCCAAUACCUGAGCACAACCCA